CUACCUGUCUACCCGGUUGAUCACCUUUACAGCUCUCAUUCUCUUCUCAUUCCGAUCAUCCCUUGACAAUCAUCAUCGUCAUCUUCUUCUUCUUCGUCUUCUUCGGCACAUUUUGCAGAGGUUUUCUUGUACCGUCUCCGUCCGGGGACUCUGUCGUGUAUGGCUUACACUAAUUUCCUGAAUUUGUUAUUCGCCGUGGGAGUUUGGUGUACUGCUUACAUUACUGCUGCUGUUGUUGCCUCCUUUCGAGCCAUCAAUUUUCUCCGUCUAUUUUGAACUGCCAUGGCUUAUGCACAGCUUGUUAUAAAUCCAACUCUUAGCAGCGAGGUGAAUGACUAUAGCAUGGUAAGUUUUAUACUGCUGGAAUGGAGAAAGAAAAGUGUACAACAUAUGUUGUCCAAACAGCUGCAUCCAGUAUAAAGAAGAGAUGCAGAUAUGAAGAUCCGGAGACUGAUGAUGAGCAACUAAACUCUGCUACAGAUUUACAUGAUAAUAUCAAAAUUUAAGCCAACUUAAUGACAAAAUGGCGUGUAAAGCUCAAGCAUUUGUAAAUACUUGAUACCUCAUCAGUAUGUUUUGGUGGGAAUUCACAAAGUUAGAUCUGCCAAAAGGGCACAAUAAUUAUUGAGCUGGUUGGAUGGAGCUGUAUUUUCAAACGAAUUAUAAAUCCGAUGCUUCUUUUCAUAUUGCAUUGCAUGCUACAGAAAUUGAUCAGUUUUGCUUGAAAA